GGUCGGUUAGCUCAGUGGUAGAGCGCCUGCUUCACACGCAGGAUGUCACAAGUUCAAAUCUUGUACCGACCACCA
rnacentral:tRNA from 1 species